GAUGAACGCUGGCGGCGUGCCUAAUACAUGCAAGUCGAGCGAACGGACGAGAAGCUUGCUUCUCUGAUGUUAGCGGCGGACGGGUGAGUAACACGUGGAUAACCUACCUAUAAGACUGGGAUAACUUCGGGAAACCGUAGCUAAUACCGGAUAAUAUUUUGAACCGCAUGGUUCAAAAGUGAAAGACGGUCUUGCUGUCACUUAUAGAUGGAUCCGCGCUGCAUUAGCUAGUUGGUAAGGUAACGGCUUACCAAGGCAACGAUGCAUAACCGACCUGAGAGGGUGAUCGGCCACACUGGAACUGAGACACGGUCCAGACUCCUACGGGAGGCAGCAGUAGGGAAUCUUCCGCAAUGGGCGAAAGCCUGACGGAGUAACGCCGCGUGAGUGAUGAAGGUCUUCGGAUCGUAAAGCUCUGUUAUUAGGGAAGAACAUAUGUGUAAGUAACUGUGCACAUCUUGACGGUACCUAAUCAGAAAGCCACGGCUAACUACGUG
rnacentral:rRNA from 1 species